AUGUAGAACCAAAUAUGCAUAGGCAAGUUCAAUGACAAUUCACAUCAUCUUUUUAUGAGCACUACAGAAAAUAAUUGAGAAUAAAAGCACAUUUUCCUAUGUAUUUUCAUUGAAGGUUCGGAUUUCAUCAUCGUUUUGCCUCCUGUGAAAAAAGGUGCAUAUGAGCUGACAUCAUUUCUAUAAGUGAUGACUGCACCCAGCAGCUAAGCAAUUUGCAUGAAUACAUUUGAGUGAAUAAGACACGAUAAAAUGUGCUGAUGCACGUGUUGAGUGUUGUUAAACUCACUGCUGAAUUUUGCUCAGAGAGCGUUCAGAUGUUAAAAGCCAUUUUAUCAAAAUCAUUUAGAAGGUCAGAUAAAAGUGAUUGGCAGGCCACAUCAAAUCACUGACUUACAUUAAAUAAAGACAUUACAUCGUACCGGGAGACUCUGAGAAGUGGUGGUACGCAAGAAAAACUGCCGGUACUCUGUAGAGUAAAAAAAUGCGUACCACUACAUACUGCCCUACUUCAAGCACUGCUGUAAAAUGUCCUAUUUCCAAUACUUGGAAAUCUAUACCUUUUCUAGUUCUAAAUUUUUUACGGUUAUUUCUUCAGGCAGCAGGACUGGCAUUAUUUGCAGUGGCCAUUUGGAUAGUAGUUGAUGCAUAUGGACUCUACCCCAUAUCUGCUGUAUCGGGGAAAGAUGACAUUUUUGCUGCUGCCUGGAUUUCCAUUUUUACAGGGGUUGCUUUCUUCCUCACAUGCAUCUUUGGCAUCUUUGCUGCCCUAAAGAGGAGUCGUGCACUCAUGCUGGCGCUGGUUAGAAACAGUAACCUUGUGAAGAAAGAGAUGCUAUGAUAUUAUUCGGACAACAGUACGCAAGGGAAGCAGAUUACAGUAACAUGGAACAGUGAUGCAAGAGGUUCAGUGUUGUGGGACAGAUGGCCCGAAGGACUGGAUCGAGUUUGACUCUACCUUCAGACAGAAGUUUGGCUCGACUAACUUCUGGCCCCUCAACUGCUGCAAGAGACUGAGCAACUUUGAGGUGGAAGAUCCAGAAAGUUGGUUGCUUUCAGCAUAUUAAAUCUGUUUUAAGUCGUUACACCUGAGCCGUGAGCUGGUACGCAUUUGCUGUUCUCAUGUUUGUGUUUUUCAUGUUGCCAUGAUCUACUACAUGCAGUUGGAAUAAAUGUAUGGACUCUGUCUGCAAGCCACACAGCUGCUUUCUCUCCAGGUCUGUGAUAACAGAAGAAAUGGACAAUGGAUUUCAGAUUGCACAACAGAGACAUCAUAAAUGCAUGGAUAGAUGACAUGACAUGUUAAGCAGUGACGGUCAUGCUAUAAUUGAUCUAAAACUCAUUUAAACAGCAUUUUCUACAUCUUGCAUAAUUAUCAUACAUGCAAUUUUAUGACCUCAUAUUAAUGAAGUAUGUGUGGGGAAAAAAGACUUUAAAAAAUGAAUUUGUCACAUCGUAGUACUAUUUAAGUGGAACUGCAAAAUAAGCUGGUUACAAAUGGUGAAAAGCUUAACUGGUGACCAGUCACAGCACCUAAAAUAUACACUUUUCCACAUACAAUACCAGUCAAAAGUCUGACACACCAACUUAAUCUGAACUAUUUUACAAUUUACACCAUUUUAAAAAAUAGUAAAGCCAUUAAAACUGUCAACAUAACACAAAGUAUGGGAAUUAUUAAGUGACCAAAAUUUUUUGGUAUCAGUCAAAUCUUCUGUUGUAGCUUUUGCAUGUGUUGGCUGCUUUUCUAUUUUUCUCCAGAUCAACCCAUUGCUUAAAAAUAAAAAAAAAUAGAAUUUUUGUUCUGUAAAGAAAUGCAUACCAUGGAAUAAUUAAUUUGUCUACAAAACUAAUUUUAAGAAUAUAAGACUUUAGAUCAACAGGUUUCAUGAGAAAUAUAAAUGUAAUAUAUUUAUGAUUCAGCACCAUCACUUAUAAAUGGUAAUGUACAUACAUUAAAUUGUGAUGCUGAAAACAACAACAAAAAAACAUCAUGUAAUUUGUCAACUAUCCACUUGAACAUUUUUUUUCUCUCUAAUUACAGCUAAAUAAGUGAUUCAAAUGUAUCUUAAAAUUCAACUGGUUUAUGUUUUAUUUAAAGGUGCACUCAGCGAUUCCUGAGAAACACUGUUGAUAUUCGAACUCAACUGCCAAAACAAACACAACCCUCCCUCAGUGCUCCUUUGGAAGCUCCGCCCCCCACCUACCCCAGGCACUCACAAGUCUCCUGCUACUAAUUCUAACAUCACAACAACAGCAUAUAUGGUUCUGUGAAACAUAGCAAAAUUUAUGUUACCCACCUAUCGAGAAGAAAAAGAGCAUCUUCUGCAUCCGUCUUCAAGCCUUUUACCUCUCGUCGGUCUCUCCACUGAAAUUCCUCGCCGAUGUUGACGCGGCUCCUAGCCCUUAACUUAUCAUAAGCCUUCUUUUUUAGUUUAUAUUCGUCUGACCUUUUUCUCUUGGUCUGUUUCUCAGCCAUUUGUCCUCCUUGGAGUUUAGAAAGUUCACAUCAGCCAGAUUUGCCGUCGCUCGUCUGAUGAAGUUCCCUCUAGCUCUGCCCAGACCCCCCAUCCUGUGCACGCGCAAGAACCACCCCCUGUUGCUGAUUGGCUGGAGUAGUGUUGUGUGGAUCGGUCCGAUCCACUUUGUUUUUGUCCCAUUUACAGAGCCAGAGCUGUGUACAAAUACUAGAUAUUUUUUCAGCCCUUCCACAGAACGGACAACUAGCAGACUGUGAGGAGAUAUUUGCAGAAUUUGACAAAAAAUGUAUUGGAUUAGAAUUACAAAUCCAAUGCACCUUUAAGCUAAAUAGUAUCGAUUAAUUUCAAAUCACUGAAUUCUCAAAAUCUUCAUCUAUGCCAUUGUCUACACUUGUGUUGUUUCUGCAUAAAGGUUUAACAUUGCUUUUUAAGAUCUCAAACUAAUGAAAAUUUGCUUUGCGUGAUUCUUUGCUGCACGUGUUUUUUAAAUUGCUUGACAUGUUUCUGUGAAUACCAAAUAA